rnacentral:rRNA from 1 species
GGGAAACUGCCUGAUGGAGGGGGAUAACUACUGGAAACGGUAGCUAAUACCGCAUAACGUCGCAAGACCAAAGAGGGGGACCUUCGGGCCUCUUGCCAUCAGAUGUGCCCAGAUGGGAUUAGCUAGUAGGUGGGGUAACGGCUCACCUAGGCGACGAUCCCUAGCUGGUCUGAGAGGAUGACCAGCCACACUGGAACUGAGACACGGUCCAGACUCCUACGGGAGGCAGCAGUGGGGAAUAUUGCACAAUGGGCGCAAGCCUGAUGCAGCCAUGCCGCGUGUAUGAAGAAGGCCUUCGGGUUGUAAAGUACUUUCAGCGGGGAGGAAGGCGAGAAGGUUAAUAACCUUGUCGAUUGACGUUACCCGCAGAAGAAGCACCGGCUAACUCCGUGCCAGCAGCCGCGGUAAUACGGAGGGUGCAAGCGUUAAUCGGAAUUACUGGGCGUAAAGCGCACGCAGGCGGUCUGUCAAGUCGGAUGUGAAAUCCCCGGGCUCAACCUGGGAACUGCAUUCGAAACUGGCAGGCUGGAGUCUUGUAGAGGGGGGUAGAAUUCCAGGU